rnacentral:rRNA from 1 species
AACGAACGCUGGCGGCAUGCCUAACACAUGCAAGUCGAACGAGACCUUCGGGUCUAGUGGCGCACGGGUGCGUAACGCGUGGGAACCUGCCCUUAGGUUCGGAAUAACUCCCCGAAAGGGGUGCUAAUACCGGAUAAUGUCUUCGGACCAAAGAUUUAUCGCCUUUGGAUGGGCCCGCGUUGGAUUAGCUAGUUGGUAGGGUAAAAGCCUACCAAGGCGACGAUCCAUAGCUGGUCUGAGAGGAUGAUCAGCCACACUGGGACUGAGACACGGCCCAGACUACUACGGGAGGGAGCAGUGGGGAAUAUUGGAAAAGGGGCGAAAGCCUGAUCCAGCAAUGCCGGGUGAGUGAUGAAGGGCUUAGGGUUGUAAAGCUCUUUUAACCGGGAUGAUAAUGACAGUACCGGGAGAAUAAGCACCGGCUAACUCCGUG